AUUGGACGCUGGCGGCAUGCCUUACACAUGCAAGUCGAACGGCAGCACGGGUGCUUGCCCCUGGUGGCGAGUGGCGAACGGGUGAGUAAUACAUCGGAACAUGUCCUGUAGUGGGGGAUAGCCCGGCGAAAGCCGGAUUAAUACCGCAUACGAUCUACGGAUGAAAGCGGGGGACCUUCGGGCCUCGCGCUAUAGGGUUGGCCGAUGGCUGAUUAGCUAGUUGGUGGGGUAAAGGCCUACCAAGGCGACGAUCAGUAGCUGGUCUGAGAGGACGACCAGCCACACUGGGACUGAGACACGGCCCAGACUCCUACGGGAGGCAGCAGUGGGGAAUUUUGGACAAUGGGCGAAAGCCUGAUCCAGCAAUGCCGCGUGUGUGAAGAAGGCCUUCGGGUUGUAAAGCACUUUUGUCCGGAAAGAAAUCCUUGGCCCUAAUACGGUCGGGGGAUGACGGUACCGGAAGAAUAAGCACCGGCUAACUACGUG
rnacentral:rRNA from 1 species